CCUUGGCUCAACGGUUAGAGCAGGGGACUCAUAAUCCCUUGGUUGCAGGUUCGAAUCCUGCAGGGCC
rnacentral:tRNA from 1 species